UCUCCGUUGGUGAACCAGCGGAGGGAUCAUUACCGAGUUUACAACUCACAACCCCCUAUGUAAACGUUACCAAACUGUUGCCUCGGCGGGAAAUUCAUGCCCCGGGCGCGUCGCAGCCCCGGACCACGUCGCCCGCCUGAGGACCAACCAAAACUCUUUUGUAUGUCCCUCGCGGACUUUUAUAAUUCUGAACCAUCUCGGCGCCCCUAGCGGGCGUUUCGAAAAUGAAUCAAAACUUUCAACAACGGAUCUCUUGGUUCUG
rnacentral:misc_RNA from 1 species